UACGGGGGGGGCAAGCGUUGUUCGGAAUUACUGGGCGUAAAGGGCUCGUAGGCGGCCAACUAAGUCAGACGUGAAAUCCCCAGGCUCAACCUGGGAACUGCGUCUGAUACUGGUUGGCUUGAAUCCGGGAGAGGGAUGCAGAAUUCCAGGUGUAGCGGUGAAAUGCGUAGAUAUCUGGAGGAAUACCGGUGGCGAAGGCGGCAUCCUGGACCGGCAUUGACGCUGAGGAGCGAAAGCCAGGGGAGCAACGGG
rnacentral:rRNA from 1 species